rnacentral:lncRNA from 1 species
UCUGCUCUGUGGGCAGUGCCACUUACACACAAUCAGAGAGCCAACUGGAUCACAGAAGAGGAGAUACGCACAUUAAACAUACUAGAGAUGCCUUAUAACACCAUUACCACAGAAGAACUCACAAUAAGAUGCACAUUUAACUGGAAAGCCCUUGGUGUAGAUGGCAUACAGAAUUUCUGGUACAAACAUUUUACCUGUCUUCAUGAUUUACUGGCCAAACAUCUCGCACACCUCAUACAUGAACCAAGAAACACACCUUGCUUUCUUAUACACUGCAUCACUUUCAUGAAACUCUAGCACAAACACUGGAAACCCAUCACAAUACAGACCAAUCACAUGUUUGCCAAC